GAUGAACGCUAGCGGGAGGCCUAACACAUGCAAGCCGAGCGGUAGAGAUUCUUCGGAAUCUUGAGAGCGGCGUACGGGUGCGGAACACGUGUGCAACCUGCCUUUAUCAGGGGGAUAGCCUUUCGAAAGGAAGAUUAAUACCCCAUAAUAUAUUUGAUGGCAUCAUUAGAUAUUGAAAGCUUUGGCGGAUAGAGAUGGGCACGCGCAAGAUUAGAUAGUUGGUGAGGUAACGGCUCACCAAGUCGAUGAUCUUUAGGGGGCCUGAGAGGGUGAUCCCCCACACUGGUACUGAGACACGGACCAGACUCCUACGGGAGGCAGCAGUGAGGAAUAUUGGACAAUGGGUUAGCGCCUGAUCCAGCCAUCCCGCGUGAAGGACGACGGCCCUAUGGGUUGUAAACUUCUUUUGUACAGGGAUAAACCUACUCUCGUGAGAGUAGCUGAAGGUACUGGACGAAUAAGCACCGGCUAACUCCGUG
rnacentral:rRNA from 1 species